AAUGGGUCAGCGACUUAUAUUCUGUAGCAAGGUUAACCGAAUAGGGGAGCCGAAGGGAAACCGAGUCUUAACUGGGCGUUAAGUUGCAGGGUAUAGACCCGAAACCCGGUGAUCUAGCCAUGGGCAGGUUGAAGGUUGGGUAACACUAACUGGAGGACCGAACCGACUAAUGUUGAAAAAUUAGCGGAUGACUUGUGGCUGGGGGUGAAAGGCCAAUCAAACCGGGAGAUAGCUGGUUCUCCCCGAAAGCUAUUUAGGUAGCGCCUCGUGAAUUCAUCUCCGGGGGUAGAGCACUGUUUCGGCAAGGGGGUCAUCCCGACUUACCAACCCGAUGCAAACU
rnacentral:rRNA from 1 species